rnacentral:rRNA from 1 species
GAUUAGCCUGCGUCCGAUUAGCUAGUUGGUGGGGUAAAGGCCUACCAAGGCGACGAUCGGUAGCUGGUCUGAGAGGAUGACCAGCCACACUGGAACUGAGACACGGUCCAGACUCCUACGGGAGGCAGCAGUGGGGAAUAUUGGACAAUGGGGGAAACCCUGAUCCAGCAAUGCCGCGUGUGUGAAGAAGGCCUGAGGGUUGUAAAGCACUUUCAGUGGGGAGGAGGGAUAAUUGGUUAAGAGCUGAUUAUAUGGACGUUACCCACAGAAGAAGCACCGGCUAACUCCGUGCCAGCAGCCGCGGUAAUACGGAGGGUGCGAGCGUUAAUCGGAAUUACUGGGCGUAAAGGGUGCGUAGGUGGUUAUAUAAGUUAUGUGUGAAAACCCUGGGCUCAACCUGGGCAGGUCAGAUAAUACUGUAUGACUGGAGUAUGGGAGAGGGUAGUGGAAUUUCCGGUGUAGCGGUGAAAUGCGUAGAGAUCGGAAGGAACACCAGUGGCGAAGGCGGCUACCUGGCCUAAUACUGACACUGAGGCACGAAAGCGUGGGGAGCAAACAGGAUUAGAUACCCUGGUAGUCCACGCUGUAAACGAUGUCAACUAGCUGUUGG